rnacentral:lncRNA from 10 species
CUGCAUAGAACCCUAAACAAUAUAUUUUUUCAUAAAAUUGUAAAACUUUAAGCAGCAACAUACUACAAUAUUCUUUUGUAAUUUUUUUUUUUUUUUUUUUUUGAGACAGACCAGGCUGGAGUGCAGUGGCAGGAUCUCAGCUCACUGCAACCUCCACCUCCCAUGUUCAAGCGAUUCUCAUGUCUCAGCCACCUUAGUAGCUGGGAUUACAGGCGUGCACAGCCAUGACCAGCUAAUUUUUGUAUUUUUAGUGGAGACGUGGUUUCUCCAUGUUGGCCAGGCUGGUCUCGAAUUCCUAACCUGAAGAGAUCUGCCUGCCUAAGCCUCCCAAAAUGCUGAUUACAGGCGUGAGCCACUGCGCUCAGCGUGUAAUGUGUUUUUUGUGCAACAUUAUGUUAAUAUACAUAGUUCUGGUUCAUUGAUGGACUUACAGUUUGUCUCCUUUUUUUCCUGUUAGGUUGGUACAAAAGUAAUUCCGGCUUUUACCAUUACUUUCAAUGGCAAAAGCCGCAGUUACUUUUGCACCAACCUAAUACUAUGACCAAUACGACCCUGAAGAUUUUUGUUCAUGUAUCUUUGAGUUUAUGAGUGAGCUUUUCUUUAAGUUUUGUACAUGCGAGGAGAUUUUCAGGCUUUUAUGGAUAAUAGGCAUUAUCAGUUCACCAUCUAUUACCAAAUUGCUUUCUACAGUGGUUGAAUUGAUUUGUAUACUCUCACAAGGAGUGUAUAAAAUUACACUUGCUUCACAUCAUCCUUUAUACUUUUAAAAUUUUGUCAAUCUGAUAGAUAUUUUAAUUUUCAUUAAAAUGACUACUAGUAAGGUUUGUGUGUGUGUGUGUGUGUGUGUGUGUUUCCUCUUCUGAUUGCUCUUCUGUGAAUUGAUGAUGGUGUUUUCUGCCCUUUUUCUAUUAAGUCGUAUACUCUUUUUUAAAAUUUAUACAAGUUCUUCAUAUAUCUUGGAUAUAUGUUGCAAAACUUGUACAUGUUGCAAAUGGCUUCUUCUAGUCUGUGGCUUGUCUUUUUACCAUAAUUAUGUUAUCUUUUGUUAAAAGUUUCAGUUUUCACGUAGUCAACUUUCUCAAUUUUUUUAUGAUAGUUUGUGUUUCCUAUACCUUUUUUAUCUUGUGCUUUUAAGGGUAUUCUCCUAUAUUUUUUCUAAAAUGUCAUAUAUUUUUUCUUUUUUUUUUUUUAGAUCUUUAAUCCAUCUUUUGUGUGUGCUGUGAAGUAAGGAUUUGACUUUAUUUUUUUCUAUUUUGGUAACUAAAUGUCUUGGCACCAAAUACUGGCUACUAAUCUAUAAAGCCACCUCUGUCAGAUAUCAAGUUUUUAUAUAUGUCCGUGUCUAGACUAUCCAUUCGUUUCCAUGGUUUCUAUCAGUCCCCAUGUUAUUAUAACACUUUUAAAGUCACUAUAACUUUAUUAUAAAUCUUGUUGUUUAGUAGAACAAAUCAUACCCAUUCCCAUCCUCCCCCUUCUUCUUCCUCCUUUUCUUCUUCUUCUUCCUCCUCCUCCUUUUCUUCUUUCUUUUUUCUUCUUUUUCUGUCUCAGAUGAUUAUGCUCCUGUGAUGUACAUUUUCGACCAUUGCUCUUUUCUUGCACAUUUUCAAAUUAGCUUGUCAAGUUCCAUAGAAACUGUAUUUUAGUUCUGAUUGGAAUUACUAAAUAAUGUUUUGGAUGAAACUCUACAAAAUCACGCCUAAAUUGACAGGUGGGACUUUUAUAAUGUGAUUCUGUGUAAGACACAAAAAAAUUUGCUUUUUAAGUAGCUAAGACUCUGUAAGAGUAUGUAGUCCUAUCUAUUACUUAACUUAAUAUUCUUUUA